UACGUAGGGUGCAAACAUUAAUCGGAAUUAUUGGGCGUAAAGGGCGCGUAGGCGGCUUUCUAAGUCAAAGGUGAAAUCCCUCGGCUCAACUGAGGAACUGCCUUUGAAACUGGAAGGCUUGAGGCCGGGAGGGGGUAGCGGAAUUCCCAGUGUAGCGGUGAAAUGCGUAGAUAUUGGGAGGAACACCAGUGGCGAAGGCGGCUACCUGGACCGGUUCUGACGCUGAUGCGCGAAAGCGUGGGUAGCAAACAGG
rnacentral:rRNA from 1 species